GGAAACAAAUGGCCCACACAGGACUCUGGGCAAUGUUUUCUUCACACAUCAUACAUCAGAGCAGGCCAUCGUCUUUGAACACUGUAAGUUAGAGACUACACACCAGAAGGGACAAUAACCCAUUUGUGUGUACAGAGAAUAUGCAAAGCCACGCAGGGACAUUGCAGGCAGAGACAGCCCAGGACGACACGACAAAUCUUCCUGAGAAUGAGAGUAUAACCCAACUACGUCAUCUGGGUACCUGGGUUUUGCCCUCCCAGUGGCAGAAGAGUCUGCUGCUCUUCCUGAAGGGACAGCCCCAGGUCCUAGGGGCGGCUCAGAUCCUCAUUGGGCUGUUAACACUGUGCCUGGGUGUGACCAUCAGUCCUUUUUCUCCAUACGACUACGGACAUCGAUGUUGCAUGAUCACUAACACAGGCUAUCAUGUAUGGGGAUCCUUCUCUUUCCUCGUUUCUGGAGCACUGUCGGUUGCUGCUGGACGGAAAGUAACCAAGUGUCUGAUCCAAGGCAGCCUGGGAAUGAAUACGGUCAGUGCUAUUGUAGCAGGGUUUGGCACAAGUUUGAUCAUUCUUGAAGAACUAGUCAUGUAUGGAAAUAGGAUAUGGAGGUCUUCCAGGGGAAGUUUAUUUAUAAUGCUGGACACCCUCCUGAAGGCGAAGGGAUCUAGGCCUUUGCAUCUUGCCAGGAGCACUGAGCAAAAAAAGUUAGCUUUUCGAUACCAUUCAUGUCUGAAGGCCCUGAUGUGUGGUCGGGAAUGCUAACUGGAAUGCUGUUCCUCUCUCUGGCAGAAGGCUGCAUCGCUUUGUUUCUCUCUAUAUUUGCAUGCAGGGUGGCCUGUUCUGUCAACAAGGUGGUGGUUUUCUUACCAAACAACAACAACAGCCCCUCAGUAGUGUCUCCUGAACACGUGUAUGAUGAGGUCGCAUUUUAGUAGAUCGCAGUGGUUCGGCGUUUCCAAUCAGUUUGAUCUAUUUAUUCUCCCUCAUGUAACUGUUUACCACAUACAACUAAGACUGUGAGAAUACAUGUGUCUGACUCUCCUUAAGUUUAUAUACUUGGGAUCCAUCUGUGACAAAACACAGGAUAAUAAAUACUUAUUAUUUGCUGAUGAGGAUUAUUCUUUUGAUUUCCCACCAUACAUUUACCAACUUUUCAAGGAAUCAUAAAAUAGUGUUAUUCUAAGGUCCCCAGGUCUGCAUAAACAGAAAUAAAUUGCUUGA